GAUAAAAUCGGAAUAUCUUGUUUGGCUGGUCGCUGUUACUGAAAGCUGUGAACGCUUCCCUCUGGAGUGAUUUCCUCUUCGACACAGAGGCGCGCGCGUUCACGCAGCAGAGCGCUUCCUCUUCCCGUGCUGGUGCCCGCCAGACAAGAACGAUAGAAAAUGGCGAGUCAGUGUAAAAGGCAGCAAUGCACAAUCGACAGGCGCGGCUUUCGGCAGGAACUUGACUCGUGGCGACACAAACUCAUUCACUGUGUAGGUUUUGAGAGCAUUCUCGAAGGUCUGUUUGGUCCAGAGCUGGUAGAAGACCUAAAAUUAUUUAAGGACCUUGAGCCUACAACAGUGUCUGACUGGUCAUUCGAUGAAAACUGUCUAUUCUGCUGUUUAAGACGGGACAAAGUAAAGGAACACUUAAUUGGCUUAAGUGACGAGGGUCCUGAAGAUAGACCAAAACCUCUCUUGGUAAAAGAUCAGACUGCAAUCAGCAGACUAGAGAAACAAGCUGAAGAAUUUCUCAAUGCAGUCCUCUGCAAAAAAGAUGUGCCAAAUUUCUCAGACCCACACAUUCCAGUAGUGGCUCGAGAGAUCCUUCAGAGAAUGAUCCGACAGUUUGCCGCCGAAUAUACCUCAAAAACCAGCUCCCCUCAGGACAGUUGCUCAGAUUUCCAGCCUAACUCUGACCAAAGCCUGCCGACCCCACCCUUGCUCUCAGGGGCUCCUCCUUCUGCCAGCCCUACCACAACCGUGGCUGGACCUGCACACAACCAGAACCCCGUCCUCAGCAAGCUCCUCAUGGCUGACCAGGAUGCUCCUCUUGAUCUCACCAUCAAGAAACCCCUGGCUGUUCCUCGUGACCAAGAUGGAGUUCUUGACUUAUCUAUCAAAAAGAAUCGCUGUAGCAGCAGCCUUCCUGUCCAUAGUCCCUGCCUUUCUCCAGCCACAUCCACGCUGAAAGGUGAAUCUCCAUACUUGAAGGUUUCCAAAGCAAAAGACCUGCAGUCCACCUCCACACUGGAACAGUUCAUGGCCAAACUCUGUCCCCACCAUCAGAGACAGAUAGUAGAUGCUAUAGGUUUUCUACAGACGGAGGUAAAAGCUCUUGCAGCUUCCAAUACACACCAAGACUCUAACUCCACUUCUGGGAUGCAUGGACCUGGUUAUUCCACUGCGAGUGUAGUUACCCCAGAGAAGCCAUGCCCUGAGUUAAGGCUUCCCCCUGAACCCACUUCCAAGUCUGAAGUCCAGGAUGUGUCCCAUUCUGUCCCAAGCAGCUGUGCAAUGAAAAAAGUUCCAGAGAAUGCGGUAUCACUAAAAACAUCUGUUACCGGCCCCGCUUUGGAUCUUCGCAGCCCUGGGUCAGGGAGUAACCAACCAGCUUUGGUCACCCCCACUGCUAAUUCAGUGGAUACAGAUAACAACCUUCGUGGUAAUCAUGCACCUCUCAAGAUGAAAAUCAUGACUAGCAAUGUUGCUGAUGGUAAAAAGUUGUCAUGUGUGCUCAACACCUCUCUUUCAUCUCACUCUGACUCUUUGGAGGACAGAGAGGAAAACUCAAAUUCAUCCAGCAGAACAGAGACUCAUAGUGCUAGACUCAGCUCCUCUGUGAAAAGACACAUUCAGACUAGUCACACACACCAGGCUAAGCAGAGAGAGACUCCUGGGCAUGCCAGAUAUACACCAGCAAAACUGUCUUCAGUCCACAGGACCAUUCCUUCAGAUUCUCCACGGACUGCCAGGAAAACCAUCAAGGCAUCUUCUGAUCAUCGGGCCCGGGAUUCUGCUUGUAGGGGACUGCCUGACCCUGAUCUUGGCCACUGUGACAUUGUUUAUAUUGACAAACCUAUUACAGAGUUUAUUAAGAAACAGCAGCGCAUGAUGGUCCCACGCCGCAAUGCCAGAAAAAGUACCAGAGGACAUAUGUAUUCAGACGAUAUCUGUGUGUUAAAAACUGUACGUACGUUGGCUGGGAGGGGCAACUGUCCUAAUCCAAUGCCAGAGCUGAUCACAUUGGUCACCCCAAAACAGAUACUUUCAAAGCCCGAAGGUGUACCACCCGUGGAUAUGCCUUUUGCUGGAGCGUGCAGGGAGUCAAUGAAUCAACAAAUGUCCACAGAAGAGUCAGAUGAGAGUGUGAUACCAGGAGCAGGAGAUAUGGUGGAGGUAGCAGCCAGUGAAGUGGAUGUUAUAGUUGAAACUAGUCAGACAGAUCAGUGCCAGAGCAAGGGACACUCUACUCCUCCGUCUCCGAUCCCUACACAGGACAAAGAAACAGACAUCAGCACAGACGUAGAACAGGAUACAACUGCAGAUUCAGGGUUGACAACAGCAAGUGAAGAAUGUGUUGCUCAGGCUCCACUUGAAGCAGAAAAAGUUAAUGAUGCUGAGACUCAAGAGGACAUACGUGAAAGUACAACGCAAAUAGUGGCAGAAACAGUAGUGCAACCAUUAGAGAAUAUUGCCACAGCUGAGCUCCAGCUUUCAUCAGAUGAACUGACCAACAGUGAUCCCAUUCUCCAGCAAAAUAGCACCCCAUCACCACUGAAUGAAGUUGAGGAAGAGAUGGAGGAAAAUAAACUGGAGGAAAUACAAGAUGAGCAACCUCAGGAACCAGAGACUGAAAUAGACUACGAUAAGUUUGAUGUAACAGAAGAGUUGAACACCACAGAUUCAGCAGAGGUGGUGAAAGAGCCAGAAACCAAAACAAAUGAAACAGUUGACAGUGUCAUGCCAUUAGUGACUGAAGAUGAUAAUGAUGAUAACUAUGACGUGUCCUCAAAGACACUUGAUGCUCUCUUGAAGGAAUUACCCCCUUGGCGUAGAAAAAAAGGCACUGUAAUCACACUACCAAAGCGAUUAAGACAAACAGAAACAGUGGUAGUGGGUUAUGUUAAUGGUAGACCCAUAUCAGCCUCUGACAGAAGUCUGCGUCGUAGAUCAAGUAACAGCACCACAUCACCAAAUAAAACCCCAGUGAAAUCUAGUCAUAAUGUAUCCAACAAGGCUGCUCUUGCUUCAAAUGUUGUUUUAAAUAUUGAAAACAAAAAUCUGGACAAACAGCUACCUGAAACACACAUAUCUAUAGGAUCAGUGGAAACUCCAACUUUUAUUCAGCAGGACAAAGAAACAUCAUCUGCCACGCCAUCAAAGUCAACCCCUAAAUUACCCUCAAAGAUUAAACAAAUACAGAAACAAAAGAGAGGUCAGAGACUUCAGGAUAGUUUGCCUGUCCUCUCUGAUCAGACUGGUGAUCAUCCUCAGAACACCGAAUCCAAGAGGCAACUUAGAUCAGCUGGCACACCAGUUUCACUGCCCACUUCAGAUGCUGUCACGUCAGUUUUAUGUCCGAAACAUACUACUGCUGAUGCUCAUCCAUCUGCAGAACACCUCCCCCCUCCUCCUCCGCUUCCUUUUAUUUCUCCAAGCAUGCCAUCUCCCCCUGCAGUCUCUGAACAGUACCAACAGGACAUAGUCCCAGAGGCAGCUGUGGAAUUAAACACUGAAAAAUCUCAGUCGGUAGAGACAGUCUCUGAAGAAAUACAAAAAACCGAAGGUGAAAGUAAAUUACAGGCCAAACAGAAACUAAGGUCUGCAAAGGCUGUGGUAGAUGACAGUAAUAGUGAGAAACUGCAUCUUGGUGGUGAGGUGUCAAGCCCUGUGAAGACUGAAUUACAAACACAGAUUAUGCCAUUAAGAAGUAAACGGGUUCUCCGAAAGGAGACGGAAGCAGGAGAUGUCUCUUUCCUACAGAAGCCAAAUGUAGAAUCCAUAGGAGACAGGUCUGCAAGUGGAGAUGAUAGCAGUUCUUCCAUUUCAGACAAACCCACAAGAAUGCCGUUAAGGAGUGAAGGUAGUAAGCCAGACACAUCCCAGCAGUCUGGUAUUCAGUCACCACCAGCAGACAACAAGAAAUUAGCUUUGAGAUCACAGAGACUGGCUACCCCUUCUAACAGUGGUCUUGCUGUAGCUGGAAGACAGAAUGAUGUGGCUUCAAUUAUCAGAAUAAAGCCUGAAAAAAUAAUUCAAGCUCAGGUGAAAGCCCCUCCAGUUUCUGUAGCGUCAGUGCGUGCUCACAGCUCAGCUAUCCCUUUCGUUACACCGAGACCUGAGCCCCCAAAACAAACUGCUAAUAAAUUCUUUGAGACUCUAACUGGAGAAGAACACCAACAUCUAAUUACAAAUCUGAAUGUUAAGUAUGAUAAAAUGCAAAAAGGUUGGGUACAAAUGGACAAAGAGGGUCAGCCGGCGACAAAACACAAAAACAAAUCAGACAGACAGGCAGCUAUAUGGAAGAGUAAACGCAGGGCACGAAAAACAAAGUCUUUAGAGCACCAGAAAUACUCACCAGUCCAAAUGCUUUUCAUGAAAGGUUUUAAUCUCACCAGUAUUUGUCGCUGGUUCCUUGAAUCAACAGAAACAAAGUCCCUUGUCAUUGUGAAGAAGGUGAAUACACGUCUUCCAUCAGAAGCUCAGCUAUGCUUCCACAGCUCGUCUAGUGCUUCAGGGACCUCACAGGGGGUAUUUCCAAGCCUACAGGCAGAGCGCUUAAAGAAACAUUUGAAAAAGUUUGCCAUUGCCUCUCCUGUAAAGAGCAACCCCAAGAGUCAGAAACUGAUUGCUAAAGCAUUAGAGCAAGAGGCCCAAGCAGUCAAAGGGAAAGAAAGAAGAGAACUUCCAAGUACUACUCAGACUUUGGCUAAAUCGCACUCCUCUGAAGCCCUCGUUCAGAUAGGUGAACCCCAGAAAUCCUCUGGUAAAUCGAAGAAUCCGGCUAGUGCAAGGAUCUUACGGAAAUACUCUAAUAUUCGAGAGAAGAUGCAGGUUCAGCAAACCAGUGUCCGACUGAAAGAGGCCUCAAAAACCUUAAGAGCCAACAGUAUGAAAAGACUUGCACCCACAAAGUCUGCCGCUAAGUCAAAUCUGAAACGUUCUCUGAAGGCGCAGAAAUUACCCCUGCCUGUCCGUAAACAAAUGAAAGCAUCUGCAGGAAAAAUUGAAAGAAGAAAAACAUUGGCUGGCAAAAAACGCGCUAAGCACCCUGUUCAAAUGAGAGCAGUCAAGGGUCAGGGCACUAGUAGGGCCUCAAGAGAUGCAACAAAAAAAGAAUUGCCAAAGAGAUGUUCUCAACGACUAGGGUCUCCUAAAACAUCUGAACAUAAACUCGUCGACGCAUCUAAAAGCAAGGUCGACAAUAAAAAACAAAUUGAAGCAGAGAAAGUGGAAGUGGAAAAACCCGCUGUGAACAAAAUGAAUGCUGCAAAAGUCCAAACAAAGGAAUCCUCACACCCUACAGUCGGUGAAAUCAAAGGUACCGAGAAUGCUAUCGAACCCCCACAACAGAGCGUGGAUGCCAAGGUUCUGAGUUCACCUGACCAAGUAUUAACAAGGUCCCAGAGAAAAAUGGAGGCAACGGUCCCUCUGAGUGGGAGCCCCAGUCCCGCUUCAAAGAAGGCCAAAAAGUCUGCAAAAACGCAAAACACAUCUCCUAAAUCAGUCAGGAAAGCUGAGGAAUCCACGAGAAGUGGGACUUUAAAGUCCCCUGCAAAGAGAAGUCAUGCAGCCUUGUUGCCACGCAGUGCAACAAAAUCGGCAACAAAGAGAGCUCAGGAGCUUUCAGAGUCCCCAGCUAAGCGCACCAGGACAUCACUCUCGAAAUAACAUGGACCCGCAGAGCUGCAGAGAGUGAUCUUGUUUAUUUAGAGGAUUCUUUGAUUUCCUUUUAUCUGGAAUAUAUUCAGAAGGACUCUCACCAAACUCUUCAGAGGAUACCUUUUUCAGGAUGCAAAUAUGUGUGAAGAAGGAACAGAAUUUUCAAGCUUUUGUAAAGCUUCAGUGUGAAAAUACAAAUGUGAUAGAUUAUUUGAUGAGCAUUUGCUCCGUUCAGGGACUACACACAAGUCCUACACGAUGUCUAGCAGAUGUAGUUGCUGUUUGGCUUUAUGUUUCAGCACUCUAUGACACGGCUGGAGGUAACAAUAGCCUAUCAAGCCUCAUCAGUAGUUGGGAUAACAGGCAUCAAACUUUGAUGUAGUUAACAAGGUGACCAUAAAAUCAUUCACCAUCCUUUUUUUUGUUAUGUUUUGGAUAUUCAUGAUUAUUGUUUUGGAUGACUGCAUUUACUAGUUAAGAGUUUGCUAUGAGAAGGGAGAUCAUCUUUAGCAUGAAAAAAAAUGUACUUGCAGUAAGUAGGCAGCUUGUAUCUCCAGCCUGUCUUCCAAUUGCAACAUUGUGAAUAUGUGACUGUUGUGAACAGGUGCCUUAUUUAUGAAGUGUAAAGUAAUAGAAUGUGUAAAAUGUGAACUCUCCUGUCCUUUAGUUGAAACAGCUUUCAGUUCCUGGAGGGGCAGUCAACAUUCAUUUGCUUCACGGAGUGUGUGCUAAUAGUUUCCGUUCCACAUGAUAUGUGCCUUUAAGUCUUAUGCUGAUUGAGGCACAUAUUGUGUGGAACGGAAACUAUUAGAUUAGAUUUUCUGAUUUACUCUUACCUGACAGGUCUAUUUUCAUAUGCCUGUUUUCCAGCAGCAUUAAUAUAAAAUUGUUCUUAUAUUUGUAUUAGAUGUUAAAGCAAAUACGAGUUUGCGUUGUCCAGAGAGACAGGCGUGCUCUGUGUGUGUCAUGGCAGUUGUUUGUAUGUUUUAUGUUGUUUUGGAUCAGUUUUCGUGACUGUGUAUCUCUGCAGUUACUCCAGGCCAUUGCACCCCUUGUUCUCUGCUCAUAAUAGUGACUUCAGUUUGAGUAUUUUACCUUCUUCUGCAUGUGUUAAAGUCUUGUUAAUGUGCAAACCGUUUCAGCAACUCAACUUACUAGAACUGAAAAUUCAGAACUAUAUAUUUAUACAUUUGAUCUUUGAAUAUAUUAACCCCAUGUAAGACCAUGUGCACAUUCAGUGCCCGUCAAGAUGCUGGAGUGAAACAUCAUCUGAGAUUACUUUGGAAGUAUUGUUGACAAAGUGAUAAGCCAAUAUUCCAAACAACAAAGGCUUGGAAAGUAUAUAUGUGUAUACUUGAUUGGUUAAUAUAAUUCCAUUAAUGGCACAUUACAGGAUGAUAAAUAGCUUUCCUGAUUAUUUUUAAGUUGGAUAUGAAGUUUUUGGGGUAGUCUAGUCACAUUUCUGAGUUGUUGCAGUUUUAUUGUUAUGCUUUUUUCUGUUUUAAUUGUCAGUGACUGUCAGGCAGAUGUUCUCAUAAUGUGAAGUUUCGUUACUUCCACAGUAGUAACUUACAUUAGUGUGUUGUCAAAGGAAAAAUACCAUUUUUAGCACAGUGUUAUUUUUUUAUUAUGGUCAUUUCUCUUUGGAGGAUAAAUCAUCUGUAAAUGCAAAACAUGUCUGUCAUGUUUUUAUUGUUAUUUAAGAACUCCAUGUAGGCUAAUGAAUUUAGCAAAUCUAAAACAGCCCACCAAAUAUCAGACUUGAACAUGUUUAUUUACAGUUGCUAUUUAAAGAUUAUGAUUUUGUAUAUUAGAAAGAAAUAACUGCUUUAUUUGUGGUAAUCCCAAGAAUGAUACAUCUUUAUGUUAAAAACUUUGUAUUUUUGCUGGAGUUGAUAUAAAGAUGUUUGAAUUUUACGUCCGCUUCCUUGGCUCUUUCGUAACAGUGUUUUAAUGUUAUUUAAUCAGAGAAAGUUGAACUAAAGAAGGAUCUAAUAAGAUGAUGUUAGUAAAAGAAGUGGACAGAAUGAGCCGGUGAAAACUAAGGAGCUUGAUAAACUUGAAACAAACUAGGUACCUUUGAUGCUGAAGUAUUAAUAGAGUUCUGAAUGGCUUGAGUGUGAGUUCAAGACAACUAGGCAGUUGAGGCCCCCAUUCUCCUGGUGGCCUGUGCCUUUAUGGCAAGUCUGGCAUUUUGUUGCCAAUGAAGGCAUUGCAUGUGAUGGUACCUACCAUGACUUGCCAUACGGCUCAUGAUCGAGAGUCCUGAGAAACACAGGAAGCUCCUACUGUGAGACAGAUUGGUAAACAGUUGGCCUCCAACACCUUGGUCUCUGUGGAGAACUGGGGGUGAAUGAAUGAUUUCACCAAAAUCAAUAUGGCAUGAGAGACAUUGGUGAUUCAUUCACCUUUUUAGUGAAAUGUAAAAGUAGUCUAUCUAACUGAGGCUGGAGAGACAAGACAGAAAUACUGAUUGUUUUAUUUUGUUAAGUUGAUGGGUCGAGCCUGUGCUAUCUGAAUGGGUCCAACCCAUGAGAGCAUCUUUUCGUACAUUUUUUAAGCCUGUAUUUGUUUACAUUUCCUGUUAGCAAUGUGUAGACAAGUAUCACUGGAGUGCUUUGAUACUUAAAAUAUAAUGAUUCUCAGGCAAGUCGUGGAAAUGCAAGAAGCUUACUGUUUUUCCCCUAUGAUUUCUAAGCAGAUGUGCAGACGUUUAUUCAUGAUAGGCAUCAGAUUUUACUCUGAGAGUGGAACUCACUUGACUGCAGUACCCUGUUGGUCCAACUAAAAUUAAAGUCUAUCUGCCCAGCUGAACUGCUGGAAAAAAAAAAAUAGUAUUUUGUUUGUGGUAGUUUUUUCUGAAAAGUCCAUUGAAGUGAUGGUCUCGUAGGAACCAAACGUGUAACAUCACGCUCUUGGAAACACACCAGGAAAGGGUAGCAUGUAUGUGAGGGGGGAGACAAUGACAUGGAAGCACUAGCAACUUUGUCUGCCGUGCAUGAAAAUGGAGCAGAAGGCAUGCAUUUCUUCCUCCAGACAUACCCACGAAUGUUAGGACGAAUGUUAGGAGUAGUACACACCAAAUGUCAAGCUGACCACCAAUUCCUUAGUUUUGACAGGAGACUUGUUGACUCUGAUAAAAUCCAAACAAUUACAAAAAAUUCAGUUUUCAUUUCUCAAGCUUGGAAACAACAGUUAACAAAAGAAAACAUCCCAGACAAUGUCCAAUUCAGUAGCUGUUGAGAAUUGUAGCUUUUCCAAUUUCCAUUUUCUCUAAGCACAUUUAGGUUAUAGGCUUAUAAGUUUUGUUCGGUAGCAAAUAAGACACUGAAUGAAAGAAAAAAAAAUGACAACACAUUCUUAAAAGCACACACAUUUAAGUUUAAUUAAUGAAAAAGAGUGGAGGUUUGGUAAACAUUUUGUCGGUGGCACUACAUACAUUCAGCAUUGGGAGUUUUUCAGUUUAAUCCCACCAUCAAUCCUGUAACAAAAAGCAAACAGACAGAACCCAACCAGGGAUAUAGUUUUUGCACCAGUUCAAUACAACAGAGACAUUGUGUCAUUUACAAUAACAUAUUUAUGUAUAUAGUUCAUAGGAUGGAAAAAUCUGUGUUUUUCUGGUCAUGUGACCAGGUAACUGAAUUACAUCUCAAUAUAGCACAAGCACCACUAAGAUGUCUACCAGGAAGUUGAAUGCACCAGUCCAGUACAGAUCAGUGCAGAGGAAGGAAAGGAGACAUGAAAAGAAAGCCACAUUCGACUAAAGAUGCACCUUUAUGAGGUACACAGCCUAAGAAUUACAGUGACUGUUCACCAGUAUCCUUUAUGAGAUCUUCUUUUAAUGUUAUUGUACACCACUGGCAUCACAACAUCGGCAUGUAAAACAAAGUCAACAUGAGUAGCAAUAUGAAUAGGAGCUCUGUGUGCAUUGUACCAAGCUGAGAUCUGGGUCUGCAGCCUUUCACACUAUAAAGAGACUUUUAACAUUUAGAUCAGCAAAAUGGAUAAACGCAGUCUCAGUCUGCAGGGAGAACAAUGCCUUAAGCUAUCCUGAUGGACUGUCACUUAUCGAACAGUAUGUGAUUUCUAUAUCUUACAUCGGAAACUAAAUUACAGCUAAAAGUUACCACUUCAUGAAUAAGCAUAGGUCAUAUUUAUCUAUACACAUUUAUACAUUCAGGUAUGACUGUUGUGUUCACUGUAAUUGGCACCAUUUCUUCUUUUUUUGUGUGUAGAUAGCCAGCCAGAGCUGACAGACAUUGAAAUGUCCAGACCAUUUAUUUUCAUUUAUUAUCUGUCAGUGCUAGGCAUGUAAUGCUUCACACAGUUGCUAGAACUAGGAUGAUAUAUCUUAACAUGAUCAUUGUCCACAGAAGCAACUUCAUCCUAUUUCUUCUGGCUUGACAGCAGCUUAUGAUCAGAUGAGCUUGACUACUUUAACUUUGUUGAACUAAAAACCCCUUCUUUCUACGGCAAACAUCUCUCCAAUUAAAAUGAUAGAAAUACAACCCAGAACUUCAACAAAAUGAACAUGAAAACAAGCCUCAGAAGCCUUUAAGUGUUAUGGUAAUUACAAGGUAAAUUUGAGGGGGGACAUGUCUUAAUCCCAGAUCUGACCUCUCCAGCUCUUGCAGCAAACGAGGAAUGUCUAAGCCGGAGAGGAGGAAAACACUGUCAUAACUCGUGGGUAAGUGAUGUUACAAAUACCUUUUAUUUUUAUGCUCUUUUUACUCAUAAUUUUACCUUUUUUCAUCUUUUUGAAAUUUUUGCAAAUAUCUGAAAGACAGCAACAUUUAUGCCUUUAACGUUCUACAGGAAAACGCCUUUAGAUAAAAUAAAUAAAAACAAGCACAGACUCUCAUGAAUUAGAUGUAAUAUUCACAUGGAAGACAACAUAUACAAUAUUAAACAUAUUUCUAGACCAAUACUGCCUCCUAUACAACAAGGCCAACCAGCUGCUGUAUUUUUGGCCAAUUAACGUAAUUAAUUACCUUGUUGGCGUAAGUGAGAUCAACAAAUAAAAACACCUAGGGAACCAACUGAAUGCCUUUCCACAAGUCCCAAAGCUUCCAGAAACAGACUUCCUCUUUAACAUAGAAAAAUACUAUACCAAAAUGAAAUACAAAUAUAUAUAUAUAUUAGAAUCUGUUAGGCAUUUCUAUAUAAAGGGUUGUUGGGGAGGAUUGGGGGUUGGGGCGGCUAAAGGAGUUAGGUUACAUCAUGACACAAAAUAUAACAAAAAUAAAAACAAAUCAAUAUAAGAAAUUAGACAGAACAAAACAAAAAUUAGAAGAUGAUUCUGCAACCUUUUGUUUUGUAAUAACAUUUAUAUUGAUAUUAAGAAACUCUAAAUAUUUGUUGGCAAACUGUUCUCCAGACAUGCAACAGUUUGCACAAGUUUAAUACUGCAGGCAUUAAGAGGAGCGGGACUUCACAGCCUCCUGCUCAAAGGGGGUGGGAUUAUGCAAAUCAUCCUAACCCUGAGGCAAUGUAUGCUGGGGGAGUGAUAACCACUGGGCACUGCCAGCGCCAGACUGGUUUGCUGUAUGAACAGAACAGAUAGUUGGACCACACAAGCCCUUUGCACUUUUACAAGCGUCAGUGGCCUGUGUGUAAAUGUAUGUAUGUCAUGCAUGUGUGAUCAUGUACUUCAGAGAGGUGUAUGACUGUCAUUUUCAGUGCUGCUAGUCAGUGCAGUCUCUAUUUUUAUGUAUUUUCUAUGUUGCGGUACUUCACAGCAAACAACUGUGACACCAGACCACCUGGCCUCCAAGCCACGACAUCCGCACGGGAUUAUGUGCCACUCUAACCCUACCUUUUCUUUGUUCACUUCUACAUGUGCAUGUGUGGAUGGAUGACUGUAUCCUGGCAGAGAAAUUGCUACACCAAACCAACACCAACUUUAACUCAACCCAAACCAUAUCCAGCCCAGUCCAGGUAACCCAGCCAAGCUCAACUCAAGAUAGCUUUGCCAAGUCAAACGGUCCAGCUCUCUUCUCAUCCCUCUGUUUCUCUCUUUUUGUCUUUCUCUGCCUUGCUUCUGCCAUUCUUAGCCGGACUGGACUCCACUGUCCUCACUGCCUCCACGAAGUAAAGAUGGUAGAUGGUGGCUAGGCUGUCAGAGGCCUCUCAGAUGGAUGGGGAAUUCACACUGGUCCUCUCUCUCUCUUCCUUUCUUCCUUCCUUUCUUUCUACCUUCUGCUCGGCAGCAGCAGCAGGAAAUGUGAGUGAAUGGUGCUACAUGCAGCCCGCACAGCCGCACUUGAUGGUCUUCUCCACUUCCUCGCUGAAGGAGGUUCCAUCGCUGCAUUCGAAGGUGUAUUUCCGACGCUUCAUUCGUUGGCUGGCGCAGCAGGCCCCAGUGUCGCAAACUCCGGUGCACUCCACCCAAGAGACCAUGCGUGUUGUCUGGCAGAUGGCAUAACCUCUUUGUACCUGGUAGAAGUUUCGCACAGGCUCCCCUCGACACUCAGAUUCUGGAAAACAGAUAUAGAAUACAGAUAUUAGUACGGUGAAAAAAUAAUAACACUUUUUGUAUUUUCCUUUUUGGUUACGUCUUUUUCCCUUAAUAUCACAAACUGACACCAACCUGCGUCACAAAGUUCCCCAGUGUAACCACUUUCACAGUGACAGUAGGCAUCGCCUGUGUCUGAAAUCUGGCAGCGACCAUGUUUGCAAGAAAGACGUCGGCAGGGGUUGAACAGCUCCCCCUGUUGGUUACACAGGGCACCGCGAUAACCCUCUGCACACUCACAGCGGUACGACUGGGUGUCCAGUGGGAUGCACUUUCCAUGGACGCACCUACCAAGAGACAAUCAUCUCAGUCAAAAUUCCUGCACAAUAAAAAAAAUCUAAUUGGAUGUUUCAAAACUUAAAGAGCACUGAAAAAGGUUCCCAAUUGUCACUGGUGAAAAAUAACUGAGUAUAGUACUCAAGUACUAUUUUAAGGUACUUGAACUUGACUUGAGUAAUUUUCAUUUUAUGCUGUCUUAUACUUCUGCUCCACUACAUUUCAGAAACAGUGCAUUUUUUUCCUGACAGAUGUACUUACUGGUUACUUUUAAGAUUUUAUAUUUAAAAAAAGCUUUGAAAAGACAACACCUUAUUAAGGAUUGUUAAGUGGUUUUUAGUCUACGAGAUGUUAACUGCCACUUAAAAUGCAAAGCUAAAAGAACUGUCCAGAAAAUAAAUACUUAUGUGUUUGAUUAUGAUUUUGAGUGCAGGACUUUGUAACAGAGUAUAUUUACAUUGUGUUGUUCUAUUGGUACUUUUACUCAAGUAAAGAGUAUUUCUUCCA